AGUGAAAGAGAACCUGAAACCCUAUGUUUACAAGCAGAUAAAGCGAAUUAAGGCGCGAUAUCGUACUUUUUGUAGAACGGUCCAGCGAGUUAUUGUAUAUGGCGAGGUUAAGUUGUAAGUAAGCAACGAAGCCGGAGUGAAAGCGAGUCUGAAGAGGGCGUAAAAGUCAUAUGUAAUAGACCCGAAACCGGGUGACCUAUCCAUGGUCAGGAUGAAGCUAAAGUAAAAUUUAGUGGAGGUCCGAACUGAUUGUCGUUAAAAAGGCACCGGAUGAACUGUGGAUAGCGGAGAAAUUCCAAUCGAACUCGGAGAUAGCUGGUUCUCCUCGAAAUAGCUUUAGGGCUAGCCUUGAGGGAAGAUAUGUGGGGGUAGAGCACUGAAUGAGGUAGGGGCCUAACCAGGUUACUGAACUCUAUCAAACUGCGAAUACCAUGUAUUAAUACUCAGGAGUCAGACUACGGGAGCUAAGUUCCGUGGUCAAAAGGGAAAGAGCCCAGACCGACAAUUAAGGUCCCAAAGAUAUAGUUAAGUGGGAAACGAUGUGAAUUUGCGUAAACAACCAGGAUGUUGGCUCAGAAGCAGCCAUUCAUUCAAAGAGUGCGUAACAGCUCACUGGUCGAGUGAAUUUGCGCGGAAAAUUACCGGGGCUAAACUAUACACCGAAAUUACGGAUUUGUAAAUGAAAAUUUAUAAGUGGUAGAGGAGCAUUCUGUGGUAGGGCGAAGCUAAAGCGAGAGCAUUAGUAGACGAAGCAGAAGAGAGAAUGCUGGAAUAAGUAGCGAGAGCGAGGUGAGAAUCCUUGCCGUCGAAAGUCUAAGGUUUCCUGGGGAAGGUUCGUCCGCCCAGGGUAAGUCGGGACCUAAGGAGAGGCCGAAAGGCGUAUCUGAUGGAUAGCAGGUGGAAAUUCCUGCACUAUAGCCAUACUUAAAAGAUGCAAGGGACGCAGGAGAGGAAGAUAACCGAGGAAGAGGAAAAACUCGGAUCGAAAGAUGGAGUGAAAAUAGAAGUAACGAAGUAUCAAGAAUCACACUGACGAGAAAAGCUUGUAGAGAUUGUAUGGAAAUACCCGUACCGCAAACCGACACAGGUAGAUGAGGAGAGGAUCCUAAGACGAACGGGAGAAGCAUUGUUAAGGAACUCGGCAAAAUAACCCCGUAACUUCGGGAGAAGGGGAGCCUAUGUAAAAGUAGGCCGCAGUGAAAAGGCCCAAGCAACUGUUUAACAAAAACACAGGUUUCUGCUAAAUCGAAAGAUGAAGUAUAGGAGCUGACGCCUGCCCAGUGCUGGAAGGUUAAGGGGAAAUGUUAGGAGCAAUCCGAAGCAUAGAACUGAAGCCCCAGUGAACGGCGGCCGUAACUAUAACGGUCCUAAGGUAGCGAAAUUCCUUGUCAGGUAAGUUCUGACCCGCACGAAAGGCGUAAUGAUUUGGGCACUGUCUCGACAAUGUACCCGGCGAAAUUGUAGUACUAGUGAAGAUGCUAGUUACCUGCGACAAGACAGAAAGACCCCAUGGAGCUUUACUGCAGUUUGAUACUGGGUUUUGAUAAACUAUGUACAGGAUAGGUGGGAGACUAAGAAAGCAAGGCGUCAGCUUUGCUGGAGUCACCGUUGGGAUACCACUCUUAGUUUGUUGAAAUUCUAACUAGUGGUCAUGACCUGGCCAGAGGACAAUGUCAGACGGGCAGUUUGACUGGGGCGGUCGCCUCCAAAAGAGUAACGGAGGCGCCCAAAGGUUUCCUCAGCGCGGACAGAAAUCGCGCGAAAGAGUGUAAAGGCAGAAGGAAGCUUAACUGGAAGACAGACAUGUCGAGCAGAUACGAAAGUAGGGCUUAGUGAUCCGGUGGAAUUGAAUGGAAAAGCCAUCGCUCAACGGACAAAAGUUACCCUGGGGAUAACAGGCUUAUCUCCCCCAAGAGUUCACAU
rnacentral:rRNA from 1 species